rnacentral:rRNA from 1 species
CGGCUGAGUAACGCGUAGGAACGUACCCCAAACUGAGGAAUAAUCCCGAGAAAUCGGGACUAAUACCGCAUAUGCUCUAUGGAGUAAAGCUUUCGAGCGGUUUGGGAACGGCCUGCGUAUGAUUAGCUUGUUGGUGAGGUAAUGGCUCACCAAGGCGACGAUCAUUAGCUGGUCUGAGAGGAUGAUCAGCCAGACUGGGACUGAGACACGGCCCAG